CAGUGCAGCGGCGGGCUGAAGGGCUCCUCAAGUGCUGUCAAAGUGGGAGCCCAGGCAGAGGAGGCGCCGAGAGCGAGCGAAGGCUGUGAGGACUGCCAGCAGGCUGUCACCUCUCACCAGAAAAAGAAAACAUUAGCAGCCAAAUUAGCCAGUCUGCCUGUGGAAUGAAGGCUCCAGUUUUUGACCUCUAAUGAAAGAAGAAAGACUACUCAUUGAGGUUUCAGCUGCUUGGGGCCAUUUAGGCAUGGAUUUUCUUCUGCCUCUGCUACCUGGAGACAGCAAGACCAACCCCUUCUGCCCUCCUCCUCCUUAGCCUAGCCAAUGUGAAGAUGACAAGAAUGAAGACGUUUAUGAUGAUCCACUUCCACUUGAUGAACAAGAUGGGGUCAGCUAUGUAGACCAGGCUGGUCUCAAAUUCCUAGUGCCAAGCGAUCCUCCUAUCUUGGCCUCCCAAAGUGCUGGGAUUACAGGCAUGAGCUACAGCACCCAGCCUAGUCAUAAGAAUAAUGGAUUUUAAACAAGCUCCACUGAGAAAUUUUACCCAGCAAUAUCACGGGCCUUUUGCGUAAUACCGAAUAAAUGUGAUUCAGUACACUGAAGUCUUAAGCAAGACCAGCCAGC
rnacentral:lncRNA from 1 species